GAAAUGCGAUAAGUAGUGUGAAUUGCAGAAUUACCUGAAUCAUCGAAUCUUUGAACGCACAUUGCGCCCCCUGGUAUUCCUAGGGGCAUGCCUGUUCGAGCGUCAUUAACAACCAUCAGGCGGGGCUACCCGCUGAGUUUAA
rnacentral:misc_RNA from 1 species